UACGGGGGGGGGCAAGCGUUGUUCGGAAUUACUGGGCGUAAAGGCUCGUAGGUGGCCAACUAAGUCAGACGUGAAAUCCCUCGGCUUAACCGGGGAACUGCGUCUGAUACUGGAUGGCUUGAGUUUGGGAGAGGGACGCGGAAUUCCAGGUGUAGCGGUGAAAUGCGUAGAUAUCAGGAGGAACACCGGUGGCGAAGGCGGAUCUCUGGGCCUUGCCUGACGCUGAGGCGCGAAAGCUAGGGGGAGCGAACAGG
rnacentral:rRNA from 1 species